rnacentral:misc_RNA from 1 species
CGACUGUGCUUCUGAGAAGCUCUCAAUUUCUCCCAAAGCCUUUUCCAUGGAACUUGCUAAAUCUGCUUCCCACAGACCCAACUCACAGACUUUCUGGUAGGUAUCAUAACCUGCAGCUGUCAGGCCAUCUGCCAGCAUCUCCUUCAGGGUCUUAGUGCAAAUUCCUCCAGAGUCCAUUAGCUGAAACAGGACUUCCGCAAAACCAGGAUUCCUGAAAGCAACCACUGCACAACUUUUAUCCACCAUCCUAACAUCAAAGUCAUGGAAAACGUCAUGUGAACCACAUAGGAG